AAAGAAACUAACAAGGAUUCCCUUAGUAACUGCGAGUGAAGAGGGAAAAGCUCAAAUUUAAAAUCUGGCAGUGUUUCACUGUCCGAGUUGUAACCUAGAGAAGUGUAACCUGCGCUGGACCGUGUAUAAGUCUCCUGGAAUGGAGCAUCACUGAGGGUGAGAAUCCCGUCUUUGACACGGACCACCAGUGCAUUGUGGUUGUGCUCUCAACGAGUCGAGUUGUUUGGGAAUGCAGCUCUAAAUGGGUGGUAAAUUCCAUCUAAAGCUAAAUAUUGGCGAGAGACCGAUAGCGAACAAGUACCGUGAGGGAAAGAUGAAAAGAACUUUGGAAAGAGAGUUAAACAGUAUGUGAAAUUGUUGAAAGGGAAACGUUUGAAGUCAGUCGCGUUGGUUGGGGAUCAGCCUGACAUUGUUGGGUGUACUUCCUGGUUGACGGGCCAACAUCAGUUUUGAUUGCCAGAAAAAGGCCAAAGGAAUGUGGCACCUUUGGGUGUGUUAUAGCCCUUGGUCGUAUAUGGUGGUUGGGACUGAGGAAAGCAGCGUGCCGAAAGGCCGGGUUUCGACCACGUUCACGCUGAGGAUGUUGGCAUAAUGGCUUUAAGCGACCCGUCUUGAAACACGGACCAAGGAGUCUAACAUGCAUGCGAGUGUUUGGGUGGAAAACCCUUACGCGUAAUGAAAGUGAAAGUUGAGAUCCCUGUCGUGGGGAGCAUCGACGCCCGGACCAGAACUUUUGGGACGGAUCUGCGGUAGAGCACGUAUGUUGGGACCCGAAAGAUGGUGAACUAUGCCUGAAUAGGGUGAAGCCAGAGGAAACUCUGGUGGAGGCUCGUAGCGAUUCUGACGUGCAAAUCGAUCGUCAAAUUUGGGUAUAGGGGCGAAAGACUAAUCGAACCAUCUAGUAGCUGG
rnacentral:rRNA from 1 species